rnacentral:lncRNA from 1 species
AUCCUCCCACGCAUGUAUUUUUAUGUGCAACCUGUGAAAUGCCUGUAAUUCUUAGGGUGAUUCACUGGUUCAAGUUUGGGAAAUAUAUAAGGGUUUAUAGAUGAUUAUAUUAAUUGAAUAGUCGGAUGACCUUUACUGUAGAGGGGAAGUUGGGUAAUGAGAUGGUGCCGGUUGGAUUUGUGUUGCGCGCAUGUUAUAAAGCAGGUCAUGUGUAUUAUUUAAUAGUUACUGCAAUGUCUUUUUCAUGAUAGUGAAAGGGAACACGAUUUGGCCGCACUGCAUUACCUACCCUGUGUGCCAAUUAGACCUUUUGUCGGCUCUUUGGAGUCUCUCGAAGUGUUUUUUCUUUCUUUGUUUUUUCAAAGGAAAAGAAAAGACUGAGAGCUAUUAGUAUAAUUUUUAAUAGAAG